rnacentral:lncRNA from 1 species
AGUUCAUAUUAGUCUAAUCAAAGAUAUGAACUUGAUCAACUACAACUAUUGAAAUUGAUCAAGAGAAGAAAUUGAUCCAAUCAGAAUUAACUUUUAAUUAGAUUUGAUCAAUUAUUAACAUGGUCCAUUAUCAAUGAUUUCUAACCUUAGGUCUAACCCAGUUAAAUGGACUUGACUCGAGCUAACCCAUUAACCCAUGAAUUAGGAAAUUAAUACUUUAGAUCUUUGAUUCUCAAAUCUAGAUCA